UACGGGGGGUGCGAGCGUUGUCCGGAAUCACUGGGCGUAAAGGGCGCGUAGGUGGCCUGAUAAGGGUGUGGUGAAAGUCCGGGGCUCAACCCCGGAUCUGCCGUGCCGACUGUUGGGCUGGAGUACUGUAGGGGCAGGCGGAAUUCCGGGUGUAGCGGUGGAAUGCGUAGAGAUCCGGAGGAACACCGGUGGCGAAGGCGGCCUGCUGGGCAGUAGCUGACGCUGAGGCGCGACAGCGUGGGGAGCAAACAGG
rnacentral:rRNA from 1 species